rnacentral:rRNA from 1 species
GACGAACGCUGGCGGCGUGCUUAACACAUGCAAGUCGAACGGAAAGGCCCUGCUUUUGUGGGGUGCUCGAGUGGCGAACGGGUGAGUAACACGUGAGUAACCUGCCCUUGACUUUGGGAUAACUUCAGGAAACUGGGGCUAAUACCGGAUAGGAGCUCCUGCUGCAUGGUGGGGGUUGAAAGGUUCGGCGGUUGGGGAUGGGCUCUCGGCUUAUCAGGUUGUUGGUGGGGUAGUGGCUUACCAAGGGUUUGACGGGUAGCCGGCCUGAGAGGGUGACCGGCCACAUUGGGACUGAGAUACGGCCCAGACUCCUACGGGAGGCAGCAGUGGGGAAUAUUGCACAAUGGGCGGAAGCCUGAUGCAGCAACGCCGCGUGCGGGAUGACGGCCUUCGGGUUGUAAACCGCUUUCGCCUGUGACGAAGCGUGAGUGACGGUAAUGGGUAAAGAAGCACCGGCUAACUACGUG